rnacentral:lncRNA from 11 species
UGUAAAGGAAUAAAAAAUAAGAAUGUAUGUUUUUCACCAGCAGCUUCCACCUUCCGGAGGCGAAGGUGGAAGGUAGGAAGGGAGACAAAGCACACACACCCUUCCAUUGUUUGCUUAGGCACCAACAUGCGCCUCGUGAAUCAGCUUCCAAGCCGGAGGGAAACCGGGCACUCAAGAUGAAAUAUGAGAAAUAUCUUAUGGCAUCAGCUUACAAAACAGAUUGA